AUGCACGCUAGCGAUAGGCUUAACACAUGCAAGUCGAGGGGCAGCACAAGGUAGCUUGCUAUCUGGGUGGCGACCGGCGCACGGGUGCGUAACGCGUAUGCAACUUGCCCUAUACAGGAGGAUAACCCGUCGAAAGACGGACUAAUACUGCGUAUGCUCACAACUUGGCAUCAAGUGGUGAGGAAAGAAAUUCGGUAUAGGAUAGGCAUGCGUCCCAUUAGCUUGUUGGUGAGGUAACGGCUCACCAAGGCAACGAUGGGUAGGGGAACUGAGAGGUUUAUCCCCCACACUGGUACUGAGACACGGACCAGACUCCUACGGGAGGCAGCAGUGAGGAAUAUUGGUCAAUGGGCGCGAGCCUGAACCAGCCAAGUCGCGUGAAGGAUGACUGUCUUAUGGAUUGUAAACUUCUUUUAGACGGGAAUAACAAGAGUCACGUGUGACUCCCUGCAUGUACCGUAUGAAUAAGCAUCGGCUAACUCCGUG
rnacentral:rRNA from 1 species